AAUUUACUUUGUUAGUAGAAGUUUUUAAUUUAUUAAUUAUUUUGUUAUUAACGAGGAAAGUCUUGUGGGGAUGAGCUGGCUAGAUUUAAUUAAAUUUUUAUUUUUAAAAAUGAUGAGUAGUAGGAUUAAUAUUUUCUUUCUUUUUAGUAUGUUAUAAUUUAUCAUUGUUUAGUUAUUAUUUUUUUUUUAUUAAGUUUUUUAUAAAAAUGUUUAAGUUAAUUUUUAUUUUAAAUCAAUAAUUAUGUAAUUAGUAAAAUUAUUUUUAAAUUUAUUAUUUUUUAAAAGGUAAAUUUAAGGAAUUCGGCAAAUUGUUUUUCGCCUGUUUAAUAAAAACAUGGUCUUUUGAUUUUGAUUUAAGAUUUAACCUGCCCACUGAAGAUUUGAAUGGCCGCGGUAAUUUGACCGUGCGAAGGUAGCAUAAUCAAUAGUUUCUUGAUUGGAAGCUGGAAUGAAUGGUUGGACGAGAAAACUACUGUCUCAUAUUUAUUUUUUUUGAAUUUUAUUUUUGAGUCAAAAAGCUUAAAUUUAUUUAAAAGACGAGAAGACCCUAUAGAGUUUAAUUAAAUAGAUUUUUGUUUUUUAAGGAGUGUAAUUAAUUUAUUUAAUUUUGUUGGGGUGACAUUAAGAUUAAAUUAACUCUUAAAUAAAUAUUUCAAUAAUUUUUGUUUUUAUGAUCCAGACUUUUUGAUUGAUAGAUCCAAUUACCUUAGGGAUAACAGCGUAAUUUUUUUUAAGAGUUCUUAUCGAAAGAAAAGAUUGCGACCUCGAUGUUGGAUUAAAAUAAAC
rnacentral:rRNA from 1 species